AGAAUAUCGAGCACUUCAAGGCAGACUUCUAUUCGGAAAUGUCUUGAGUAGAGUAGUUGCUUUUAAGAUAGAUUUUCCAACCUUUCGUCUUUUUGUUUCUGUAGUUUUUGUUGUCAGUCUAUCACAGGGUUCUGUCCUUAAUUUCACCAUCCUCGUCUGGUUUCCUUAAUUAGUUUGAGUGAAAUAUGUAUUCAAAUAUUUUCUUUGCAGUAACCAACAAGCCUUGGAAGCCAUAAAUACCAUUAUUUUGAAUGCUUUAUGUUCUCCAAAGUUUAGAAGAAGGAAACCUGAGAAUGAUGUAAGUCUCAAUGUCUCAGUCAAAAAACACGUUGCUUACUUGUUCUUUCAAGUUUCAUAUUGAUGAAUUAUAUUGACCAAACAAUAAUUUCCCUUCGCAAUUUUCCUUUCUAAAGUGUUUGAGCAAUAUGGUGCAGACUUGGAAGGGGAAACUGCUACCUAUUUUCACUCCUCCAACAAAAUUGAGGAAGUUUCACUACUUAAGAUGAGAAUGGUAAAAAAGGGAAUGGGUAUAUAAAAACGAAGAAUAAGUCAAAUGCCUGAAAAUGAACCUGAGACUACGCCAACUAAAGAAGCUCAAGCCAAAGGAAGAGAAGAAAAAUCUCUUUCAUUUUUUGAACAACCUCUGUUGGUUAAGUUAGACAAAAUAUAUAAUUACCAGUUAAAGAAUGAUAAGGAAUAUGAUGAAACAUUUGAAAGCAUUCAUUUAUCUCUUCAGAGCAUUAAAAAAAAACUAGAGAGAUUGAAUUGAGAGUAGUGGUGAAUUUAGUGAAGAAUAGGAUUUCUUCAUGCAUCUUGCAUCUUCUGCAUUUCACUUAAUUAUAUUUUGUACUCAUUAUUAAAAUUUGUCAUAUUCAAGAUAAAUUUGAAUAAGAUUUACUUCAGUUAAGUAAUUUGUGUUUGUAUGACUCUUAUUUCUAUUUAAUUUUAUGCUUAAAGUAUCUAUUUUAAUAUGUUAAAAUGAAAAAUAAUCCAUUAAAUUGAAAAAAAUAAUGAAUUAAAUAGUCAAAUAACAUAUUAAAUAUACUUGUUUUUUUACUUUGUAAUGUUUUUUAAAGUAGAUAAUUAAUUACAUAAUCGAUUAUUUUAAAGAUAGGUUUAUUCUGGAACCACAACUUUUGUUCAGGAUAAUCAAUUACCAUUUAUCAUAAUUGAUUAUUCCAUAAUUUUUUUUGUAUAAAUAUUAUCUUUUUUAUUGCACAUGCUAUCUUUUAUUAUUCUUGUCAUAAUUUCUUUUUGAUAAUGUCCCACGGGGGAGAAUAUAUGUUUGUAUGUUUGAAGAUGUGCAUAUAUAUUUUUGAACUUGUAGUCUUAGUUCUUUGUUGUCUUUUUGCUUGUAUUUUACGUAAGGUUAGGUUUUAUAAUAAGGAGAAAAUACUUAUAAACCUAUUCUUUUUCACAUUAAGUAUAAAUAAGAAAAAAAAUAUAUAUAAGAAAGAAAUACUUACAAACCUAUUAUUUUAAAGAUUUUUUAUUGAAAGUAAUAUACUAAUCUCUUAUAUAAAUUGAUUCAUGUCUCUUUGUUAUAGAAUAUAUACAAGAGUCUCAAUUUUAAUACUUUUUCUCAUUUACUCCAACAUCCAAAAGAUCCAAUACGAUCAAUAAUAAACGGAUCAUGGUUUUGUCUCAAAUUUGUGAGGGACACCUUGUUUGCUUAAUUGGGGUACUGCAAUGAAAGCUUUGAGAUGAUAUUGAUGAAAAAUGUUAUUGAUUUUUUUUUUAAUUUAAUAAGUCAAUUUAUUUAAUUCCUGAGUUAAAUCGAAUUAACAAUUUUUUUAUGGAUUAAAUAUAUUUUUUUUUCUUGUAACACGAAAUUGAUUUUUGUUUUUUUUUUAAAAUUUAAACAAUCCAUGUUACUUAUAUUAUGGAAAUUAUUUGAAUAGAUCUUUUGUACGUGAAUGAUUGUUAUUUUUUUUCAAAAUUCAUUGUUUUAAUUACAUAUUGGUGUCACUAUAACUAUUUUUAGUGGAUUGAUGAAGUAUAAUCUUAAAUUAGAUCAAUUUCACCUACAAAAGGAAAUAUCUCAAUCAUUUUCAUAUUACAUAAAUGAGAUGGAUACGUAUGAUUUAAAAUUUAAAUAAAAAGAAAAUUAAUUCUAUGUUAUAGUAGAAAACUUUUUUAUUUAUUAUAAAAUUAAUUGAAUUAAGCUGAUUCAGUUUGAUGCAUGAGCACUUAUUCAUUAACUUGUCAUUCGGAUAACUCGUGAACUUAUGUCCGGAAAAGUUAACAAAUAAAAACCGUAGCACACGUUUCCAUUUGCAAUUUUAUUUUAUUUUAUUUUAAUUUCUUUUACAAUUGUUAUUUUUUUAUAUCUUUAUAUUAACAAAAAGAAGUUAAGAAACUCAUAUCAGUAUUUUAUAUACUUUUUAUAACUUUUAACAAAUUAAUAGUAGAUAAUAACAAACAUAAAAUAAAAAGAAAAUAAAAUAAAACAAAAAACAAAGGAGCAACUAUGAUAUUUUUAAACUCAACCAAAAUCAGGUAUUCCUGAAAGAUGAAUGGGCAAUUUUUUUAGACUUAAUUAUAUUUCAGUUCUUAAAAUUUGUAAAUCCAAUUUUGACUUUUUAAAGUUAAAAACAUUUUAGUCUUUUAAAUCUAAAAAAAAAUAUUAUUUCAGUCCCUCAGUUAAUAUUUAUAGAAUAAAAAUAUUUUUUUAUAUUAAAAAACUGUUUUUAAUACAUUUUAUAGAUCAAACUAAAUUCACUUCCAAUUUAAAAAAAAUGUUAUCCUGUAUGAAAAAAAAAAUUAACAAAAUAUUAUUUUUCUAAAAAUGCUGAACAAAACAUGAAGCCGUCCAAUUGGUACAAGCAUGUAACUUUACUCUACAAUAAGUGUAUUGAAUUUUAUAUAUAAUAAUUUUUUGUUCUAUUAUUUUAUGAUGAUUUUUUAAUUUUAGUCAAAGUUUUGAACAGAUUAUUCGUAUCAUAUUAACAAUUAAUAACACAAUGUCAUUAAUUAAUUUAUUAACAGAAUUGAUAUUUAACAAUUUUACAUAAAAAAUUACACUGACUCAUAUUUUAAAAGAAUGAACCAAAUUGAGUGGCAUAAAUAAAAAAUAAAUGAUAAUAAAAAAACCCAUUAAACUCAUUAUAUACAAGUCAUCACAUAUUCAAAUCCAAAAUCAUUUUGUAAUAAUAAUUUUUUAACUGAAGAAAAUUGUUGUGGUACUUUUUCUCUCUCCACAACUUCUUGGAAUUUUAACAGAAGAAAAAUCAUUUGGAUUUUUGACUUCUGUUGUAUUCCCUUCCAAGAAAACCAGGACAAAACAUCUGAAAAUUUUUGUUCUUCAGGAAAGAUAUUUGUACUCUACUUGCUGGCCAUUUAAUUAUUUAUUACAACAAGUCUCCAUGUCUGCGCGCUUCCGCAAUUGGUUAAAGACAAAAGUAAUGAAAACUUUCAAUCUUCUUUUUCACGGCUCUAAUAGUUGCGGUAGUUGAUAAAUCCACUUCAGAAUUAAAUAAAAGGGGAAAGAGGAAAUAUGAACAAAAAUCAACGCCGACUCCUUGACCAGUGCUCAAGUCUUCCUCUCAUUUCAGUCCACAGACUAAUAAUCUUAGUCUAAAAAGAUGCAAAUAUCAUACCCCAGGCUAAGCCCAGAUCACCCCCUUUCCAUGGAGAUUCCUAAGCUCCACAUAAUUCAACACUCUCGCUGUAUAGCACUUCUUUUCCUUCUUCAGUUCUCAUCACUGCACUUCCCCUCCCUCGGCUACAACGUCCCAGAUAAGUACUUUAUCAGUUGUGGGUCAGACAACAGUGUUAACGAAAGUGGCAAGGUUUACGCUGCUGAGUCAAAACUUGAUGCCAGUUUUAGCGGCAGUAAUACCGAAAGGAAUCAGUCAUCGGUGCCUUCUCCUCUUUACCAAACAGCAAGGAUUUUUCGAAGGGAAUCUUGGUACAAGUUCAACAUCGAUUUAAAGGGCACCUACCUGCUACGCCUCCAUUUCUUCCCUUUCUCUUCCCCCAGUAAUCUUUCCUCGGCCAGGUUCAACGUUUCAGUUCCUGGUUUCUGGUUGUUGCAAAAUUUUAAUGGUACAAAUGAUACCAAUAGCAACUCGGCUUCAGUUAAAGAAUUUUUCAUGGAAAUCAGUCCCCCCACCUUCAGAGUAACUUUCAGACCUCUGGAAUCAUCGUUUGCGUUUGUGAAUGCCAUAGAACUGUUCGUACUACCCCUCCAUCUGAUAUCUGAUAAGGUGUCGUUUUUCAAACCUAUUGGGGGUACAACUCCUUAUAGCGGAGGUUUGUACUCUCGGGUGUUGGAGACCAAACAUAGGCUUAAUGUUGGUGGUCAACAUACCAAAGAUCUCUUAUUGAGAAACUGGAUUCCAGAUGAUAUUCAUCUAAUGUAUACAGGAAACGCCAAGAAUCGUUCCCCUUACAAUGGUGAAAUCGGGUACCAUGUAGAUGAUGACUCCGAUGGUCCAAACGCAGCUAGAUAUACUGCGCCAACUCAGGUGUACGGAACUGCUAAGGAAACUAACCUCUCUGUCAAUGCCACAGACUUUGGACUUUUCAACAUAACAUGGGCUCUUCCGGUGGACAACAAAACAGAUCAUUUCCUUCGGCUUCACUUCUGUGACUAUUUGAGUUCACAAGGUGGCCUUACAUACUUCGAACUUUCCAUUUAUGACGCCCUUGUCAUGCAGGUAAAUAGUGACGGAAACGUGUCUAACGAGUUGCCUGCCCCUUAUUAUUAUGAUUUCGUGGUGAACUCUGAUGACAAUGGACAUAUUAAGGUCAGCCUAACACCUAAUAGAACCGCUUUAAAUCCAAGUGCAUUUUUAAACGGGCUAGAAAUAAUGAAAGUGAUUGAACCAUCAAAUUCUGUCCCCCCUGACUUGGAAGAAGCCGAUUCCAAUCAUCGUCUUCCUUUGUUGCUGGGUUCAGUUCUCGGUGGUUUAGUCUUGGCUAUUGUUGUAGUGCUACUUGGAUUUCUUUGGCGUUUUAAAAUGAGGAAGGAAAAGCCCGUUGAGAAUUCGGACUGGUUGCCAAUCCCCGUUAAUGCUGGAGGAAGUUCUCACAGCAGAUUGACUGAUAUAACCAGUCACGGGUCUCCCCUUCCCAACAUAAACCUAGGGCUCAAAAUUCCCUUGAUUGAUCUUCAACUUGCAACAAAGAAUUUCCACGAAAGUCAGCUGAUUGGCAAGGGUGGUUUUGGCAACGUCUACAAGGGAGUCCUCAAGAAUGGCAUGACAGUGGCUGUGAAAAGAAGCCAGCCAGGGUCAGGUCAAGGCCUUCCAGAAUUUCAGACAGAGAUUAUGGUUUUGUCCAAGAUUCGCCACAGGCACCUGGUUUCCUUAAUUGGGUAUUGUGAUGAGAGGUUCGAGAUGAUUCUGGUCUAUGAAUACAUGGAAAAAGGAACCCUAAGGGACCAUUUGUAUAACACAAAGUUUCCAACCUUGUCCUGGAAGGUGAGGCUUCAAAUUUGCAUUGAUUCUGCCAGGGGUCUUCAUUACCUUCAUAAAGGAGCAGCUGGGGGAAUCAUUCACCGUGAUGUAAAGUCCACAAACAUAUUGCUUGAUGAGAACCAUGUUGCUAAAGUUGCUGAUUUUGGUCUUUCAAGGUCAGGUCCUCUUGAUACUCAACCGUAUGUCAGCACUGGUGUUAAAGGCACUUUUGGGUAUCUUGAUCCUGAGUAUUUCAGGUCUCAACAGCUGACAGAAAAAUCUGAUGUGUAUUCAUUUGGAGUAGUUCUUUUGGAAGUGUUGUGUGCAAGAGCAGUGAUUGACCCAUCUCUUCCAAGAGAUCAGAUAAACUUGGCGGAAUGGGGAUUGCUUUGCAAAAACAAGGGGACACUCCAAGAGAUCAUCGAUCCUUCCAUCAAGGAUCAAAUUGAUCAAAACUCACUCAGAAAAUUUAGUGAGACGAUAGAAAAAUGCUUGCAAGAAGAUGGUUCUGAUAGGCCAACCAUGGGUGAUGUGUUGUGGGACUUGGAGUAUGCGGUGCAGCUUCAGAGAGGUGCAAAUGCAAUACAGAGAGAGCCGUAUGAGGAUAGUUCUAGCAAUGUUUCUGCAUCAUUUCAACUGCCCAAUGUUCGGCGCCUUCCUUCACUCUCCACACUGAGUGAAGCCGAUGAUACCAUUGUGAGGCAUGAUGAAUCCGAUAGUGCUGUGGAUUACGUUUUCUCCCAGUUGAAGAUUGAUGAUGCCAGAUAGAUUAUUGAGCACUUCAAGGUAGUCAUCUAUUCGCAAAUGUCUUUAGUAGAGUAGCUGCUUUUAAGAUAGAUUUUUCAACCUUUCGUCUUUUUGUUUCUGUAGUUUUUGUUGUGAGUCUAUUGUGAUUUAAAUAGCGUUAUGAAAGCAACUUAAAACCAUUCAUUAUUUGUCAAUUCCUAUGCUAGGAAUAAAUUAUUGAGUAAUAGUUCCAUUUCAUACAACACUUGUUUGCACCAGUGGAUGUACCAUACACUGCGGCUAACCAUGCUAUAUUAAAUACAUACUUUCGUUUUUCAUUAUCCCUUUUCGGGUUUCAAUGGCAUAUAGAUCAGCUUGUACAGGGAGAAGAGAGUGGC
rnacentral:lncRNA from 1 species